ncrna:unclassified sequences COG2827 RNA
GCCGGUGCUUUUCAUAGAUCAGGGAAACCUGGGCGGCGCAUGCUGUACUUGCAAGCAGCAGGCACCGCCUACAUA